rnacentral:lncRNA from 13 species
CUUUGUUAACAUUUCACACACUUUGUUACACUUUAUGUUAUUUUUUACGCAAAAUUUGAUACAAAUUCUUUGAUCCAUUUUUUUUCAGAAACGAAAAUCGCCGAGCUCAUAAAAACACGUGUAACCUUAGCGGCUGCCACAGACAAAGUAAACAAUGAGUACAGUUCAACAUUUUAGCAUACUUUAGGGGCAUGUAUACCAACAUAAACGAAAAAAAAAUUUGACUGUCGGACUCUCCAAACCCGCGAAAUUUAAAAAUUCCCGUUACUUUUUAAACACACCUCGUACUCGCAGUUCAUGAUUAACGUAACGUCAGGCUUACGAUUGAUCCCGGCCGCUUACGAUUGCAUUUGACAUAAGGUUAAGUAAUUUGACAUGAGGUUAAAUAAUUUGAGACCUGCCACUUAAAUUCACUGGGCAAGAAGAUACUGACGAAAUCUCAGAUCUGGCUGCAGUGCAACAAGUGUAAAUACACCACGUAUCAUGAUUCCUUCAUGAUGCAUUGCAUGAAAGAUCAUAACAAGGAAAGGGCAGCUAACGAGCACAUCUUUGAGAGCCAGCAGGAAAGUGAAAGACACAGUUACAACAAAGUGAAUGACUUGGAGAGCAAGGAGAAUGAAACAGAUAAUUCUGACAUUGGUCAAGGAUGAUAAAGCGUUGGAGGUAACUUUUGGAGCCGAUUCAGUCAGUUUUUCUUCAGUCAGUUAUUACUCAAUCUACCCUUGUAGGAUUUAUUAAAUUGUAAUCAUCUAUAUGCUUUCGUUACAUUACCAGCGAAUAGGUAUUACUUACUGAUUAGUUAAUACAUUACUGUAAAUCUGUCUUAAAAAAGAAUUUUUUUUUACGAAAAAUAUUUCCACGGUGUCCCAAGAACAAAUGUACGUUCUGCAGCCAAUUGACACGGCUGAUAUUAAAAACUUGAGAAAGAUGAUAAGAUUGGACUUGGAUCCUGAGCAGAAAAUGGAAAUGAAGAGCGAAAAUAGAAAAUGGAUAACCUUGAAAGAGGAUGGAAGUCUAGAACUGGUAGAGAUGCCUUGGAACGAGAUAGAAGGGUCGAAUAUUGACACAACGAUGGUGUUUGAUUAACUGGGCAAAAAUCAAAGACAUUUUAGUAUUACAUUUGGUUCCUUUAACUCGAGACGUUACUAAUUUCAGACAUUACGCCAUACAUAUAUCAAGAUACUAAUUACUAUCAAGAAAAAUGAUUUUACCUAACAAUA